rnacentral:lncRNA from 1 species
GUCACCUGGGAGGUUUGGAGGAAUCUCUGGAGACAGAGCAGAGAAAUCUUCCUCUGGAAGCUGGUGCCUAUCUCCAUCACUUGGGAUCGCCAGCAGACUCCACUGAAAGCCAUGGGUUCUUCUUCUUAAAACACAUUGAAAGAGGUACAAGCAGACAAACGAGAGCUGAUCACGCUCACAUUGCCCAGGAAAUGCAUCUCUGGUGGAAAGUUUAUUUCUCCCUGUGACAUCACCGCUCUUCAGGUGCCAGUAAUUGUAAACAUCCCUUGUUUUCAAUUCUUUGUCCCCUUAAUCUCAUUAGGAGAAUAUCAGACGUUAAAUCUUUUAAGUAGCAUUAGGGAGUGUGUUCAUCCAUAACAUAUGAGAAUGCCAGUCAGUUCUUAGCACCCCCUGCUCCACAAUGUUUGCUGUUUUGCAAGUUCCUGUGCUGAAAAAUGAGAUUUGAUUCCAGGAGGGCUUUGCUGGCAAAGGUUGUUGUGGCUUUGAGGAAAGGAGUGUUGGGAGUGGGGUAAAUUAGGGAGGAAAAGGAGAUGGAAUGGGGCAGACAGCCCAGCCUCUCCACAGA